rnacentral:rRNA from 1 species
UACGUAGGGGGCAAGCGUUGUCCGGAUUUACUGGGCGUAAAGAGCGCGCAGGCGGUCGAUUUAGUCGCGUGUGAAAGCCCCCGGCUCAACUGGGGAGGGUCACGCGAUACUGAUCGACUCGAAGGCAGGAGAGGGUAGUGGAAUUCCCGGUGUAGUGGUGAAAUGCGUAGAUAUCGGGAGGAACACCAGUGGCGAAGGCGACUACCUGGCCUGUUCUUGACGCUGAGGCGCGAAAGCUAGGGGAGCAAACGGG